rnacentral:rRNA from 1 species
CCUACGGGAGGCCGCAGUGGGGAAUAUUGGACAAUGGGGGAAACCCUGAUCCAGCGACGCCGCGUGAGUGAAGCAGUAUUUCGGUACGUAAAGCUCUAUCAGCAGGAAAGAAAAUGACGGUACCUGACUAAGACGCCCCGGCUCACUACGUGCCAGCAGCCGCGGUCAUACGUAGGGGGAAAGCGUUAUCCGGAUUUACUGGGGGUGAAGGGAUCGUAGACGGCAGCGCAAGUAUGGAGUGAAAUGCCGGGGCCCAACCCCGGAACUGCUCUGGAAACUGGGAAGCUGGAGUGCCGGAGAGGUAAGCGGAAUUCCUGGUGUGGCGGUGAAAUGCGUAGAUAUCAGGAGGAACACCGGCGGCGAAGGCGGCUUACUGGACUGUAACUGACGUUGAGGCUCGAAGGCGUGGGGAGCAAACAGGAUUAGAUACCCGAGUAGUC